AAUAAUUUUUGUUGAACAGUACCAGUUUCGAGACUGCAGUCGAAGAACGCGAAAUUUAAAGCGCAGAAAACGGAAAAUUCUUCCAGAUUAAUCAAGGGAAACUCAAAAACUAUAAACGAUAGCCCAUUGAAAUGUGUUAUAAAAAUUAUGAACAGUCUAAUCGAAAAAGAAAAUUCAUCAAAAUGUAUGGUUGUAGUGAUGUCUAAAUUUGCAAAAUACAAACGCCGUGUAAGACGACCAUAUC